rnacentral:tRNA from 1 species
AGGGAUGUAGCUCAGUGGUAGAGUGCUUGCUAACGUGCACAAGUCCCUGGAUUCAAUACCCAGUGCCUCAA